rnacentral:rRNA from 1 species
GAAGAGAUUUCGGUCAAUCAUGUGCAUCUUUAGUGGCGGACGGGUGAGUAACGCGUGGGUAACCUGCCUUACACAGGGGGAUAACACUUAGAAAUAGGUGCUAAUACCGCAUGAGCGCACAGGACCGCAUGGUCGAGUGUGAAAAACUGAGGUGGUGUAAGAUGGACCCGCGUCUGAUUAGCUGGUUGGUGAGGUAACGGCCCACCAAGGCGACGAUCAGUAGCCGGCCUGAGAGGGUGGACGGCCACAUUGGGACUGAGACACGGCCCAAACUCCUACGGGAGGCAGCAGUGGGGGAUAUUGGACAAUGGGGGGAACCCUGAUCCAGCGACGCCGCGUGAGUGAAGAAGUAUCUCGGUAUGUAAAGCUCUAUCAGCAGGGAAGAAGAAAUGACGGUACCUGAGUAAGAAGCCCCGGCUAACUACGUGCCAGCAGCCGCGGUAAUACGUAGGGGGCAAGCGUUAUCCGGAAUUACUGGGUGUAAAGGGAGCGUAGACGGUGAUGUAAGUCUGGAGUGAAAGGCGGGGGCCCAACCCCCGGACUGCUCUGGAAACUAUGUGACUGGAGUGCAGGAGAGGUGAGCGGAAUUCCUAGUGUAGCGGUGAAAUGCGUAGAUAUUAGGAGGAACACCAGUGGCGAAGGCGGCUCACUGGACUGUAACUGACGUUGAGGCUCGAAAGCGUGGGGAGCAAACAGGAUUAGAUACCCUGGUAGUCCACGCCGUAAACGAUGAUCACUAGGUGUGGGUGGGUAUGGACCCA